rnacentral:pre_miRNA from 1 species
AGUCUUCUGUAUUCGUUCUGAGAUUUCAUCAGCUAUCAACCCGUUAGCAUUGAUGCAACUUCCUAAAUAAGUGAAGUG